CAAGUAUUUGAUGGUGAGUGUUCUGAUGGUUUUUCCGUUCUUUAAUUGGCGUGUUUUGAUGGUGUAUGUAUUCAGUGAUUACUCCGGUACGGUAAAGUGUAAAAUUUCCCUUUUUCCUCCUCCCGCAACAUUCCCCACAAAAUCCGGCCUUGCAGUACCUUCUUGUCUUCAUUGUGAAAUUCAGCUUCUGUGAUGGCUCCUUGUUCAAAAAGAAACUUCCUUUCCUCUUUGGCUACUUCGUGAUAUUGUAUCUCAGGAUAUUUCUGCAACAGACUAUCUUCUUUCAAAUAUUCACAGACAUGUCGUUCCAUCAAGUAGUACUCUCCGAUAUUGUCUUGUGGCCAUUGAUAUUCAAAUGGCAAUGUUUCUAACGUUUCUGUCUGCUUCUUUGGUAAGUUCUCCUGCUCAGCUGUCGUUUCAGUGGCAGACAUCCCGAAAACUGUCAGUAAACAUCAAAUUAAACACGGCUUUGUUCUACAAAUUAAUAAAAUUUGUCCGCCAUGCUUCUUCUUGCUUUUCAAAAGAAAACCAAACGAGGAC
rnacentral:lncRNA from 1 species